rnacentral:rRNA from 1 species
GAUUCCCCUAGUAACUGCGAGUGAAGCGGGAAAAGCUCAAAUUUAAAAUCUGGCAGUCUUUGAUUGUCCGAGUUGUAGUCUAGAGAAGCAUUUUCCGCGCUGGACCGUGUACAAGUCUCUUGGAAUAGAGCGUCAUAGAGGGUGAGAAUCCCGUCCAUGACACGGACUACCAGUGCUUUGUGAUGUGCUCUCAAAGAGUCGAGUUGUUUGGGAAUGCAGCUCAAAAUGGGUGGUAAAUUCCAUCUAAAGCUAAAUAUUGGCGAGAGACCGAUAGCGAACAAGUACCGUGAGGGAAAGAUGAAAAGCACUUUGGAAAGAGAGUUAAACAGUACGUGAAAUUGCUGAAAGGGAAACGAUUGAAGUCAGUCGCGUUAUUCAGAACUCAGCCUUACCUCGGUAUGGUGCAUUUUCUGUUUAACGGGCCAGCAUCAGUUUCGAUCGCCGGAAAAAGGUUAGAGAAAUGUGGCACCUUCGGGUGUGUUAUAGUCUCUAAUUGUAUACGGUGGUUGGGACUGAGGAACUCAGUACACCUUUAUGGUCGGGGUUCGCCCACGUUUGUACUUAGGAUGCUGGCGUAA